AGAGGAGGUAGGGAGUCAGUCUUACGGUUCCUUUACCUCCUGCCUGUUCAACUCUAAAAACGUGCUUUUUCUGACCCUCUGCAUGCUGGGCACCCGGUUAAUGCCUGUUCACUUGAAUUGAAUUCCAGGUGUGCAACAUGGCAGCCUGGCCCAUGCCCUGUCUCCGGCUCGUUGACAAAGGCUUCCCAAUGGAAGGGAUAGUUAAGCUGAGAUUUGAAAGAAGGAAGGAGAGAUCAUUUGGACAAUUCACACCAGGUUCAGAAGGGUGCGUGCACACACACACACUGUAAGCAUCACCCAAUCCUUUGAAAUGUGGACAGCACGUCCUCAGAGGAAAAUCUGAAGUCUCCGUUCUUCCCAUACCACUGUAAAAGUUGAGCAUUGUGGGGGCUGGCCCCGUGGCCGAGUGGUUAAAGUUCGCGCGCUCCGCUGCAGGCGGCCCAGUGUUUCGUCGGUUCGAAUCCUGGGCGCGGACAUGGCACCGCUCAUCAGACCACGCUGAGGCAGCGUCCCACAUGCCACAACUAGAGGAACCCACAACGAAGAAUACACAACUAUGUACCGGGGGGCUUUGGGGAGAAAAAG
rnacentral:lncRNA from 1 species